GCCGUGAUCGUAUAGUGGUUAGUACUCUGCGUUCUGGCAGCAGCAACCCCCUGUUCGUAUCUGGGUAACGGCA
rnacentral:tRNA from 1 species